GAUGAACGCUAGCGGCAGGCCUAAUACAUGCAGGUCGAACGGUGUCUUUGGACAUAGUGGCGCACGGGUGCGUAACACGUAUGCAACCUACCUUACAUUGGGGGAUAGCCUUUCGAAAGGGAGAUUAAUACCGCAUAAGACAGUAGCUGGGCAUCCAGCAGCUGUUAAAGAUUUAUCGAUGUAAGCUGGGCAUGCGUCCAAUUAGCUAGUUGGUGAGGUAAUGGCUCACCAAGGCUAUGAUUGGUAGGGGAACUGAGAGGUCAAUCCCCCACACUGGCACUGAGAUACGGGCCAGACUCCUACGGGAGGCAGCAGUAGGGAAUAUUGGGCAAUGGACGCAAGUCUGACCCAGCCAUGCCGCGUGCAGGAUGAAGGCGUUAUGCGUUGUAAACUGCUUUUAUACAGGAAGAAACGACUCUUGCGAGAGGCAUUGACGGUACUGUAUGAAUAAGCACCGGCUAACUCCGUGCCAGCAGCCGCGGUAAUACGGAGGGUGCAAGCGUUGUCCGGAUUUAUUGGGUUUAAAGGGUGCGCAGGUGGUUUAUUAAGUCAGUGGUGAAAGACGGCCGCUCAACGAUUGCAGUGCCAUUGAAACUGGUAGACUUGAGUAAAGUAGAGGUGGGCGGAAUUGAUAGUGUAGCGGUGAAAUGCAUAGAUAUUAUCAAGAACUCCAAUUGCGUAGGCAGCUCACUUGGCUUUUACUGACACUCAUGCACGAAAGUGUGGGUAUCAAACAGGAUUAGAUACCCUGGUAGUCCACACUGUAAACGAUGAUAACUAGGUGUCGGCCGAAUCUGGUCGGUGCCACAGCGAAAGCGUUAAGUUAUCCACCUGGGGAGUACGCCGGCAACGGUG
rnacentral:rRNA from 1 species